ACAAGCGGUGGAGCAUGUGGUUUUAAUUCGAAGCAACGCGAAGAACCUUACCAGGCCUUGACAUGCAGAGAACUUUCCAGAGAUGGAUUGGUGCCUUCGGGAACUCUGACACAGGUGCUGCAUGGCUGUCGUCAGCUCGUGUCGUGAGAUGUUGGGUUAAGUCCCGUAACGAGCGCAACCCUUGUCCUUAGUUACCAGCACGUUAUGGUGGGCACUCUAAGGAGACUGCCGGUGACAAACCGGAGGAAGGUGGGGAUGACGUCAAGUCCUCAUGGCCUUUAUGACCAGGGCUACACACGUACUACAAUGGCCGAUACAAAGGGCAGCGACACUGCGAGGUGAAGCCAAUCCCGUAAAAUCGGUCUCAGUCCGGAUUGGAGUCUGCAACUCGACUCCAUGAAGUUGGAAUCGCUAGUAAUCGUGGAUCAGCAUGCCACGGUGAAUACGUUCCCGGGCCUU
rnacentral:rRNA from 1 species